UCCCUGGUGGUCAAGUGGCUGAGACUCUGCGCUCCAAACGCAGUGGGCCCAGGUUCGAUCCCUGGUUAGGGAA